rnacentral:rRNA from 1 species
UACGUAGGGUGCAAGCGUUAAUCGGAAUUACUGGGCGUAAAGCGUGCGCAGGCGGCUAUGCAAGACAGAUGUGAAAUCCCCGGGCUCAACCUGGGAACUGCAUUUGUGACUGCAUGGCUAGAGUACGGUAGAGGGGGAUGGAAUUCCGCGUGUAGCGGUGAAAUGCGCAGAUAUCAGGAAGAACACCCGUGGCGAAGGCGGUUCUCUGGGACGGUACUGACGCUGAGACGCGAAAGCGUGGGGAGCGAACAGG